AGCCUUGAUUAUCGGACUGCAAAUCCGGCUUCGGCCUUCGCCGGCCCGGGGCUU
rnacentral:tRNA from 1 species